GUCUACGGCCAUGCCACCCCGAAUGUGGCCAAUCUCAUCAGAUCUCGGAAACCAAGCAGUGUCCGACCUCGUUAGCACUUGGAUGGGAGACCACCUAGGAAUACCAGAUGCUGUAGGUG
rnacentral:rRNA from 1 species